rnacentral:rRNA from 1 species
CGGGGGCCCGCACAAGCGGUGGAGCAUGUGGUUUAAUUCGAUGAUACGCGAGGAACCUUACCAAGGUUUAAAUGUACUACGAAUAAGCUAGAAAUAGUUUAGUCUUCGGACGGAGUACAAGAUGCUGCAUGGUUGUCGUCAGCUCGUGCCGUGAGGUGUUGGGUUAAGUCCCUCAACGAGCGCAACCCUCAUUGUUAGUUGCCAACGAAUAAUGUCGGGGACUCUAGCAAGACUGCCGACGUAAGUCGAGAGGAAGGUGGGGACGACGUCAAAUCAUCACGGCUCUUAUACCUUGGGCUACACACGUGCUACAAUGGUCGGUACAAAGGGUUGCUA